GUUGAUUCUGCCGGACCCGACUGCUAUCAGAGUGGGACUAAGCCAUGCGAGUCAACAUAGCAAUAUGUGGCAUACGGCUCAGUAACACGUAGUCAACAUGCCCAGGGGACGUGGAUAACCUCGGGAAACUGAGGAUAAACCGCGAUAAGUCACUACUUCUGGAAUGGGUAAUGACUCAAAUCUAUAUGGCCCCUGGAUUGGACUGCGGCCGAUCAGGCUGUUGGUGAGGUAAUGGCCCACCAAACCUGUAACCGGUACGGGCUCUGAGAGGAGGAGCCCGGAGAUGGGCACUGAGACAAGGGCCCAGGCCCUAUGGGGCGCAGCAGGCGCGAAACCUCUGCAAUAGGCGAAAGCUUGACAGGGUUACUCUGAGUGAUUUCCGUUAAGGAAAUCUUUUGGCACCUCUAAAAAUGGUGCAGAAUAAGGGGUGGGCAAGUCUGGUGUCAGCCGCCGCGGUAAUACCAGCACCCCGAGUGGUCGGGACGUUUAUUGGGCCUAAAGCAUCCGUAGCCGGUUCUACAAGUCUUCCGUUAAAUCCAACUGCUUAACAGGUGGGCUGCGGAAGAUACUAUAGAGCUAGGAGGCGGGAGAGGCAAGCGGUACUCGAUGGGUAGGGGUAAAAUCCGUUGAUCCAUUGAAGACCACCAGUGGCGAAGGCGGCUUGCCAGAACGCGCUCGACGGUGAGGGAUGAAAGCUGGGGGAGCAAACCGGAUUAGAUACCCGGGUAGUCCCAGCUGUAAACGAUGCAGACUCGGUGAUGAGUUGGCUAUAUGCCAACUCAGUGCCGCAGGGAAGCCGUUAAGUUUGCCGCCUGGGGAGUACGGUCGCAAGACUGAAACUUAAAGGAAUUGGCGGGGGAGCACCACAAGGGGUGAAGCCUGCGGUUCAAUUGGAGUCAACGCCGGG
rnacentral:rRNA from 1 species